AUUGAACGCUGGCGGCAGGCCUAACACAUGCAAGUCGAACGAGUGGCGGACGGGUGAGUAAUGUAUGGGAAUCUGCCUGAUGGAGGGGGAUAACUACUGGAAACGGUGGCUAAUACCGCAUACCAUCAGAUGAACCCAGAUGGGAUUAGCUAGUAGGUGGGGUAAAGGCUCACCAAGGCGACGAUCUCUAGCUGGUCUGAGAGGAUGACCAGCCACACGGGGACUGAGACACGGCCCAGACUCCUACGGGAGGCAGCAGUGGGGAAUAUUGCACAAUGGGCGCAAGCCUGAUGCAGCCAUGCCGCGUGUAUGAAGAAGGCCUUAGGGUUGUAAAGUACUUUCAGCGGGGAGGCGUUACCCGCAGAAGAAGCACCGGCUAACUCCGUGCCAGCAGCCGCGGUAAUAC
rnacentral:rRNA from 1 species